rnacentral:lncRNA from 1 species
AAGAAUCUGGUGUGUCCUGUGUUUAUUUCCCGCGGGACGGGGAUAAGCUCGGGAUACUUGGUGCUAGAAACCCGGGAAAAAACGCCUUAACAACGCCGGCACCAGAGGAGACCCUCUGACCAACCGGAGCAGGUUCAGAACCACGGUGGAUUUUGGAAUUCCGAGAGCAUGCUGAAUCCUUGAAACUGGUCUGAAGGAUUUGACGAAAAGCUUGAGGCGUUACGUACAGCAGUGAUGACGAUUAAUUCUACGCGCGUGGACCCAUCAUUAAUCGAUGGAAUCAAAGGACUUUCUUCCUGGAUGUCCUCUACAUUCUCACAUUUUAAAGAGUGGGUGGGAGUGGGCCUGUUUGGUGCAACCCUGUGUUGUGGACUAGUGUUUCUUC